rnacentral:rRNA from 1 species
UGUGGCGUGGGGGGUGCCUAAUACAUGCAGUCGAACGCACAGCGAAAGGUGCUUGCACCUUUCAAGUGAGUGGCGAACGGGUGAGUAACACGUGGACAACCUGCCUCAAGGCUGGGGAUAACAUUUGGAAACAGAUGCUAAUACCGAAUAAAACUUAGUGUCGCAUGACAAAAAGUUAAAAGGCGCUUCGGCGUCACCUAGAGAUGGAUCCGCGGUGCAUUAGUUAGUUGGUGGGGUAAAGGCCUACCAAGACAAUGAUGCAUAGCCGAGUUGAGAGACUGAUCGGCCACAUUGGGACUGAGACACGGCCCAAACUCCUACGGGAGGCUGCAGUAGGGAAUCUUCCACAAUGGGCGAAAGCCUGAUGGAGCAACGCCGCGUGUGUGAUGAAGGCUUUCGGGUCGUAAAGCACUGUUGUAUGGGAAGAACAGCUAGAAUAGGAAAUGAUUUUAGUUUGACGGUACCAUACCAGAAAGGGACGGCUAAAUACGUGCCAGCAGCCGCGGUAAUACGUAUGUCCCGAGCGUUAUCCGGAUUUAUUGGGCGUAAAGCGAGCGCAGACGGUUUAUUAAGUCUGAUGUGAAAGCCCGGAGCUCAACUCCGGAAUGGCAUUGGAAACUGGUUAACUUGAGUGCAGUAGAGGUAAGUGGAACUCCAUGUGUAGCGGUGGAAUGCGUAGAUAUAUGGAAGAACACCAGUGGCGAAGGCGGCUUACUGGACUGCAACUGACGUUGAGGCUCGAAAGUGUGGGUAGCAAACAGGAUUAGAUACCCUGGUAGUCCACACCGUAAACGAUGAACACUAGGUGUUAGGAGGUUUCCGCCUCUUUAGUGCCGAAGCUAACGCAUUAAGUGUUCCGCCUGGGAGUACGACCGCAAGGUUGAAACUCAAAGGAAUUGACGGGGACCCGCACAAGCGGUGGAGCAUGUGGAUUAAUUUCGAACCAUCCCGAAGAACCCU